rnacentral:rRNA from 1 species
CUGAGUACGGCGGAACACGUGAAAUUCCGUCGGAAUCCGGGAGGACCAUCUCCCAAGGCUAAAUACUCCCUAGUGACCGAUAGUGAACCAGUACCGUGAGGGAAAGGUGAAAAGCACCCCGGAAGGGGAGUGAAACAGUUCCUGAAACCGUGUGCCUACAAGUAGUUAGAGCCCGUUAAUGGGUGAUAGCGUGCCUUUUGUAGAAUGAACCGGCGAGUUACGAUUUGU